rnacentral:rRNA from 1 species
UUAGGAAUAUUCGUCAAUGGGGGAAACCCUGAACGAGCAAUGCCGCGUGAGUGAUGAAGGCCCUAUGGGUUGUAAAACUCUGUUGUAAAGGAAGAACACCUAGUAUAGGAAAUGAUGCUAGGCUGACGGUACUUUACCAGAAAGCCCCGGCUAACUACGUGCCAGCAGCCGCGGUAAUACGUAGGGGGCGAGCGUUAUCCGGAUUUAUUGGGCGUAAAGGGUGCGUAGGCGGUAUGUUAAGUCUAAAAUCAAAGCCCGAGGCUUAACCUCGGUUCGUUUUAGAAACUGGCAAACUAGAGUGCAGUAGAGGCAAGUGGAAUUUCUAGUGUAGCGGUUAAAUGCGUAGAUAUUAGAAGGAACACCAGUGGCGAAGGCGGCUUGCUGGGCUGUUACUGACGCUGAGGCACGAAAGCGUGGGGAGCAAAUAGG